GGAUUUGAAGGCCAUCUGGUAGCAACAUCUCUGACCCCAUUUUUCACCAGGGCUGAUUUGGCUGAUCUAGCUGGCUGGCCGGUGUCCCUUUCCUCCCUUACUGCUCCCUGUGCAUCUCUCCCAAAGCUGGGCACUUGGUCAAAGAGGACGACCUUCCCCGAAUAGAGAAGGAACCUUCCUACGUCAAGGGUAUAAUAGUAGCUUUGCCAUCCUGCUAGAACUUCCAAAGGAAAAACAAAAAGAAAACAAAAACUUUUCUAAUUCCAGAAAAACUCU
rnacentral:snRNA from 1 species